rnacentral:rRNA from 5 species
UAGUCGGAGGUGUGUCUCGGACGGUCGGUUCGCCGCUUGUCGGUGCUCAACUGGCCGGUCCGGACGUCCUGCCGGUGGGGCUGUAAAAGGCUCCGUUAUCCUUCUUUGGUCCUCUUCAUUGAGUGCCUUGGUGGGCCGGCACGUUUACUUUGAACAAAUUAGAGUGCUCAAAGCAGGCCGUUGGUCGCCUGAAUACUGUGUGCAUGGAAUAAUAGAAUAGGACCUCGGUUCCAUUUUGUUGGUUUUCAGAACUCGAGGUAAUGAUUAAUAGGGACGGACGGGGGCAUUCGUAUUGCGACGUUAGAGGUGAAAUUCUUGGAUCGUCGCAAGACGAACCGAUGCGAAAGCAUUUGCCAAGAACGUUUUCGUUGAUCAAGAACGAAAGUUAGAGGUUCGAAGGCGAUCAGAUACCGCCCUAGUUCUAACCAUAAACGAUGCCAGCUAGCCAUCCGCCGAAGUUCCUUAUAUGACUCGGCGGGCAGCUUCCGGGAAACCAAAGCUCUUGGGUUCCGGGGGAAGUAU